rnacentral:rRNA from 1 species
CUACGGGUCGCAGCAGUGGGGAAUACUGCACAAUGGAGGAAACUCUGAUGCAGCAACGCCGCGUGGAGGAUGACACUUUUCGGAGCGUAAACUCCUUUUAUAUAGGAAGAAGAUGACGGUACUAUAUGAAUAAGCGCCGGCUAACUCCGUGCCAGCAGCCGCGGUAAUACGGAGGGCGCAAGCGUUACUCGGAAUCACUGGGCGUAAAGAGCGUGUAGGCGGAUUAAAAAGUCAGAAGUGAAAUCCUAUAGCUUAACUAUAGAACUGCUUCUGAAACUCUUAAUCUAGAAUAUGGGAGAGGUAGAUGGAAUUUCUGGUGUAGGGGUAACAUCCGUAGAGAUCAGAAGGAAUACCGAUUGCGAAGGCGAUCUACUAGAACAUUAUUGACGCUGAGACGCGAAAGCGUGGGGAGCAAACAGGAUUAGAUACCCCAGUAGUC